rnacentral:SRP_RNA from 1 species
GUUGGGUGCAGUCACGCGUACCUGUAACCAGAGUUUGGAACAUGCAGAAUGAUUGAAUGUGUUUGUCUUGUGGAACCACAGACUCGGGAGUGAAUCUUGUUGAGAGUCGGUCCGGAAUGAACUCUGAGUGCAACAUUGACGCUCUUGCGGAAGCAGAGUUUAGUUCGAGGUUGUUGAAGAGCUGCGGAAUGCGCAAGGCUAGAAAUAGAGCAGCGAAAAGUGGCCGCUUGGAGUGGCGCUGCGGAUUGCUGGCUUGAGAGAUUCGCCCUUGUCUGCCAUGUCAGGCAUUAGACUUUCAUUCUUUUU